rnacentral:lncRNA from 1 species
GCGGGACGGGGAGCCUGGGAGGGCGGGAGGGCUCCGGGUCCAGCCGGGCCCGGAGCAGGGCCGGGCUGCCCCUGAUCACUGGUGGAAGGGGCCGAAGAGCGGAGCGGCGGCAGAGCUGGAGCCGGUACUGGGGCAGGAGGAAAGGAGAGCCGAUCCGAUCCAAGCCGGCCGGAUUCAAGCCGGGAGGGACAGCGCAAAGCAGGGCGGGGCUGGUCAGGGCUGGUCAAGGCUGGCGGCCCAGGGCUGGGGGAGGCUCUGGUGCUAUGGGCGCAGGAGAGGAGACCUAGAGCAGGAGGCUCAGCGCGCGGCCCGGGCCAGCCGGGUAUGGGCACCGAGCGCUGCCCUUGGCCUGGCCCUAACCCCAGCUCCAGCCGGGGCGCCUUUGUAACUCCCCUGCCGCCGCACCACAAAGAGCCCGCCAACCCGAGAGCUGGGACCUCCACCCGAGACCCGGGAGAAGGUGGUGAGCUGAGCAUAGUCACAGGCAGAUGGCUUCCUCAGAUCCAUCUCCUCAGCCUGCAGUAGGAGACCAGCCAGCUCAGGACGUCCCAGGGACUUCUCCUGAGUCUGAGGAGGACCACGGAGAGGAUUUUGAGUUUGACGACAGUGAUGAAGAGGAAGAGGACUCCAGGACGGGCCCAGAGAAGGAUGGAGAACCCCCACUUAUCCACUUUGAUGCUGCCCCCAUCACUGGUGAGAUGAAUUCAGGAAGCCCAUUUAUGCUGGGCCUGGGGAGAAAGGGGAAGGUACAGAAAAGGCCCUUUUCUCCCUAACUGGCUUUUUUUUCUGAUCCAGACUUGUCCUAGUAGGUCUUAACUCAUCUCCUGCUCUUGGAGAGCUGAACUGGGAAAAUUCCUUCAGAUUCUGGGCUCUGGGAAUUCCACAUUCCUUGGAUUUCUGGGACAUCUGGGGCUACUUUGGCACUUUUGAAAUGGAUGUUUGGGCUGAGUUGGCUCUGUUCCAGAGACAGUUGCGCAUAAGGAGGCUUCUCUGGAAGUCCUCCUCCCCCUUGCUCAGGCAGAGGAAGGGGCCUCCUGGAGAUCUCUUAUCCUGUAUUUAGCAGCUCAUUCCCCCCGGGGAGACCCGGAGAGGGCGGGUUGGGGGAGACAAAAGAUCUCACUGGUAUUCAGUAGUCGCUCCCAGGCUGUUGGACUCUGUCACUUGGGAAGUUGAUCUGAGGACUGGAUUGACAGGAACUUCCUGAAAGCAGAAGGACAACGGCCUCCUUGACAAGCUUGCCCUCCCUGACGCACUGCUGGUUGGCUGCCAUCAUCUGGAGUUUUGGGCUGGGCUGCUGGGGGGAGAACGGGGGCACCCUGGAAGAUGUGGGGGAGUGUAAUCAUGGCUUACACAACUCCUGGCCUUCUCCUUGGGGGCCAUGAGCCCUGGGGGAAAGUCCCUCUUGAGCUGGUGAUGGGGGUGGGGUGCAGGUGAAGACCCAUGAAAACUUAGCCUCAAACUGGAAACACCGGCUGAGAUCUGUGUCCUCAUGAGUCUCGCCUUCCCCAGGAAGAGGUUGGGAAAUGGGGUGGGGAUGUGCUGAGCCAAACCCGGGGCUAGCACAGACGAGACACCUGAGAGCAGGGCCAGCUUGUGGGGGGCGGGGAAGGGGGACACUGUAAGGAGACCAUUGCCCUGACUGGCUCCCUUCUGUUUUCCCUAGAUCCUGCAGCUGCCCAGCCCCCGACAGAGUAAGUGAACUCCCUUUCCUUUGCUUAGGCGUGUCCUAAAAUGGUGUUA